rnacentral:misc_RNA from 1 species
UCCGGUUUGUCACCGGCAGUCUCAUUAGAGUGCCCUUUCGUAGCAACUAAUGACAAGGGUUGCGCUCGUUGCGGGACUUAACCCAACAUCUCACGACACGAGCUGACAACAGCCAUGCAGCACCUGUCUCCAGGUUCCCGAAGGCACCCCCACAUCUCUGCGGAGUUCCUGGGAUGUCAAGACCAGGUAAGGUUCUUCGCGUUGCAUCGAAUUAAACCACAUGCUCCACCGCUUGUGCGGGUCCCCGUCAAUUCCUUUGAGUUUUAGCCUUGCGGCCGUACUCCCCAGGCGGGGCACUUAGUGCGUUAGCGACGGCGCGGGAGGAGUCGACACCUCCCACACCUAGUGCCCAUCGUUUACGGCGUGGACUAC